rnacentral:rRNA from 1 species
AUGCACGCUGGCGGCGUGCCUAAUCCCUGCAAGUCGAGCGCACAGACGAGGAGCUUGCUCCUCUGACGUUAGCGGCGGACGGGUGAGUAACACGUGGAUAACCUACCUAUAAGACUGGGAUAACUUCGGGAAACCGGAGCUAAUACCGGAUAAUAUAUUGAACCGCAUGGCUCAAUAGUGAAAGACGGUUUUGCUGUCACUUAUAGAUGGAUCCGCGCCGCAUUAGCUAGUUGGUAAGGUAACGGCUUACCAAGGCAACGAUGCGUAGCCGACCUGAGAGGGUGUUCGGCCACACUGGAACUGAGACACGGUCCAGACUCCUACGGGAGGCAGCAGUAGGGAAUCUUCCGCAAUGGGCGAAAGCUUGACGGAGCAACGCCGCGUGAGUGAUGAAGGUCUUCGGAUCGUAAAACUCUGUUAUUAGGGAAGAACAAAUGUGUAAGUAACUAUGCACGUCUUGACGGUACCUAAUCAGAAAGCCACGGCUAACUACGUG